rnacentral:rRNA from 1 species
UACGUAGGGCGCAAGCGUUGUCCGGAAUCACUGGGCUUAAAGGGCGCGUAGGCGGCUUGCCAAGUCCGGGGUGAAAGCCCCCAGCUCAACUGGGGAAGGGCCUCGGAUACUGGCGAGCUCGAGGGAGGUAGGGGUCGAGGGAACUUCUGGUGGAGCGGUGAAAUGCGUUGAUAUCAGAAGGAACGCCGGUGGCGAAAGCGCUCGACUGGAUCUCUACUGACGCUGAGGCGCGAAAGCUAGGGGAGCAAACGGG